AUUGAACGCUGGCGGCAGGCUUAACACAUGCAAGUCGAACGAGCGGCGGACGGGUGAGUAAUGUCUGGGAAACUGCCUUAUGGAGGGGGAUAACUACUGGAAACUGUAGCUAAUACCGCGUACCAUAGGAUGAGCCCAGGUGGGAUUAGCUAGUUGGUGGGGUAAAGGCUCACCAAGGCGACGAUCCCUAGCUGGUCUGAGAGGAUGACCAGCCACACUGGAACUGAGACACGGCCCAGACUCCUACGGGAGGCAGCAGUGGGGAAUAUUGCACAAUGGGGGCAAGCCUGACGCAGCCAUGCCGCGUGUAUGAAGAAGGCCUUCGGGUUGUAAAGUUCUUUCGGUGGCGAGGCGUUACCUGCAGAAGAAGCACCGGCUAACUCCGUGCCAGCAGCCGCGGUAAUAC
rnacentral:rRNA from 1 species